rnacentral:rRNA from 1 species
GUAGGGAAUCUUCCACAAUGGACGAAAGUCUGAUGGAGCAACGCCGCGUGAGUGAAGAAGGUCUUCGGAUCGUAAAACUCUGUUGUUAGAGAAGAACGUGCAUGAUAGUAACUGAUCAUGUAAUGACGGUAUCUAACCAGAAAGCCACGGCUAACUACGUGCCAGCAGCCGCGGUAAUACGUAGGUGGCAAGCGUUGUCCGGAUUUAUUGGGCGUAAAGGGAACGCAGGCGGUUUUUUAAGUCUGAUGUGAAAGCCUUCGGCUUAACCGAAGAAUAGCAUUGAAAACUGGAAGACUUGAGUGCAGAAGAGGAGAGUGGAAUUCAAUGUGUAGCGGUGAAAUGCGUAGAUAUAUGGAGGAACACCAGUGGCGAAAGCGGCUCUCUGGUCUGUAACUGACGCUGAGGUUCGAAAGCGUGGGUAGCAAACAGGAUUAGAAACCCGAGUAGUCC